CCUACGGGUGGCAGCAGUGAGGAAUAUUGGUCAAUGGACGAGAGUCUGAACCAGCCAAGUAGCGUGAAGGAUGACUGCCCUAUGGGUUGUAAACUUCUUUUAUAUGGGAAUAAAAUGUUCCACGUGUGGGAUUUUGUAUGUACCAUAUGAAUAAGGAUCGGCUAACUCCGCGCCAGCAGCCGCGGUAAUACGGAGGAUCCGAGCGUUAUCCGGAUUUAUUGGGGUUAAAGGGAGCGUAGGUGGAUGGUUAAGUCAGUCGUGAAAGUUUGCGGCUCAACCGUAAAAUUGCAGUUGAAACUGGCAGUCUGGAGUGCAGUAGAGGUGGGCGGAAUGCGUGGUGUAGCGGUGAAAUGCUUAGAUAUCACGAAGAACUGCGAUUGCGAAGGCGGCUCACUGGACUGCAACUGACACUGAGGCUCGAAAGUGUGGGUAUCAAACAGGAUUAGAUACCCUUGUAGGC
rnacentral:rRNA from 1 species